GGGUGCGGAAGGGGCGCGGAUGCGGCUGGAGUUCGGGGAGCUCAGGCCUCGCGCGGGGACCCCCUCUAGCCCCGAUGUGGGGAGCAAAGGGAAGGCCCUCUCCCUCGCAGCUGCAGCCCCCGACCCGCCAGCUCCCGGGUGCGGCGGGACUCACGGCCUUCAGCUGCUCCAACCGGUCCUUCAUCCUGCUGCCCAGGCGCCCGGAGGCAGUGCUUGCUCCAUGCUGACGUCAUCGCUCCCAUAAAGAUAGGUCUGUAAGCGGUCGGGUGGAUGAACUCUAUGAUUCUCAGCCCGGAUCCUCCCUGUAAGCUACACUUCCUUCCACCCCGGGCGUUCCCUUGGUGGGUUCCCGACUUUGGGAAGAGUAGGCUUCUGCGCCCCCUGGUGUCAUAAGUGAAAAAGGCAAUUCCACCUGCUAGUUGUAUACAAGGAACUGGAAAAAGUCAAGUUAACUGGAAUACAGGACCUGGGCAAGGGGAGUCCAGGGGCUGGUGAAGAAGACUCUGAUAUUGAGCCCAAGGGGACUCUAGGGUCUCCAGUAGGCUCCAGGCCCAGUGUGGAGCCCAUUGCAGGCCUUGAACUCACAACCCUGAGACCGAGACCUGAGCUGAGAUCAAGCGGGAUGCUUAACCACUGACCCACCCAGGCACGUCUUACAAAGAAGUCUUAGACCAUGUUGUUCAGAUGUUUUCCUAGCAUGAACCUCCAGAUGCCAUACACCUGUGCCUUUGGCUUGACAAUUAAAUAACCUGAACCU